UUGACUGUUGGAAUAUAAAUGACUAUAAGAAUACACCAUAAAUCUAUACGAAUGCCCUUCGACUGCUUGCCGAAGUCCUUUUUGUCCCGGCCGAUAGGUCUCUAAACAUUACAGAGAACCCCGAACAACCCAAACUGUUAAUCUUCGAUACUGCUUUAUACUUACAAUCUUGUAUCCACUGACUGUCUUGUUAGAUUAACCCAAUAAAUUUCAUUCACUCCGCAUACUCAAUCCUAUAGACACCUUUUUAAUUCUUCAAUCUUAGACGUAACUCAAUUUCACAAAACAAUCAAGAGUAAUCAAACCCACUUCAUUAAAAAUCCCGAUUCACCAUUACAACACUGACUUCAGCAACGAUUGCCUCAGUCUUCCCAAAACCCUA
rnacentral:lncRNA from 1 species